rnacentral:rRNA from 1 species
UACGUAGGGUGCGAGCGUUAAUCGGAAUUACUGGGCGUAAAGCGCGUGUAGGCAGCUUCGCAAGUCGGGUGUGAAAGCCCUGGGCUCAACCUAGGAAGUGCACUCGAAACUGCGGAGCUUGAGUCUCGGAGAGGGUCGCGGAAUUCUCGGUGUAGAGGUGAAAUUCGUAGAUAUCGAGAGGAACACCGGUGGCGAAGGCGGCGACCUGGACGAUGACUGACGCUGAGACGCGAAAGCGUGGGGAGCAAACAGG